CAGAAAGGACAUGGAAUGUGUUCACAGUCACACCUCUGGCCAAUGGAGCAGUCCAGGUAGGAACUGGGUCCCUGACUGAGUCCUGGUGGCCUGACCUUCUUCAGAGGGGAAGGCCUGGCUCACCUCUGCAGCAUCUCUCUGGUUGGAGCCCGCCCCCUCCAUCCCUCAGGGCUAUUUGGCAAACCCCAGCCAGACGCCUGUUCUUCCUUCCCUGCCUGUGCGGAGGGUGCCGGGAAAAAUCCCGGAUUCCUGCACACAGGGCCCUGCCUGAAUGUCCACUGGACCUCCAGGCCCUGGACAGCAUUGGGUGCCGCCUCUGCGUCAUCCGCCAUCUCCUGGCUUUGCCUCCUCCCAUCUGUCCACUGCCCCGAAGCAGGAGGGACGUUACCGGGGCAGGUCGGAUCAUGCCUUGGCCCCGGGGAUUAAGCCAGAGCCCCUCUGCACAACGGCUGCCCCGCUGGCCUCCUGCUCAGCUUUGACGAUACACCACCUGGAGCCCUGCCCUGAGCCCUCCGCUCUGUGCUCCACACAGCAUGUCACUCCUCACACCUGGGCAUCUGCCGGAGGGCUCUGCACGGGCAGAAACGUGCCCUUCUCUGUGUCCACAGGACAGUACCCGUGCCCAUGCCAUGUGUGACGCUGCUUUACUGAGGAGACCUCAUGUCCAGCACAGAGGAUCAGAAGGAGGCGGCAGCGUCCAGGCCCAGCUCUGCCACUGACCCUGAGGGUUCCUGGCAGCCCCGUGGCCUGCUGCCCAAGGUCGUUCUGGAGCCUGGAGCCUUCUGGAAUCCAGCUGUGGGAAAUGAAGUGCUCGCGGACAUCAAUCUUCAGAUGCACUGAUGACUAGUCGGGGCUCUCCAGGGAAACAGACAAACAGAAUGUGUAGAAAGAGACUCGUUAUAGGAACCAGCUCACGUGACCGUGGAGGCUGGGAAGCCCCGUGUCUGCUGUCUGCAGGCUGCAGACCCAGGAAGCCUAUUUGCUGGUGGAAUCCAGUCCAAGUCUGGAGGCCUGAGAACCUGGGGAGCUGGUGGUGUAAAUGCCGGUCCAGGGGUCGGAGAUGAUGAGGUGGACUGCCCGGCUCAAGCAGCAACGUACAGGACCAGGUGCACUGCCCGAAGCUCUGCCCACCAGGAGGAUCGCCCUUCACCUUGUCCUUGAGGGAUGUCCCACCACUGACACUUCAGGCACCGCUGGACCUGAUGGAUCACGUGGCCACAGGGCAGACCAGCCUGGACCCACUGCAGAGCCUUCUCCUGUGUGGGCCCAGCCCCAAACCAGCAUUUGUCCAGCCUUGUCUCCUGGUACCCAGCACAGCCCUUGAGAAGAACGACGUGACUCUCAUCCUUUCAGGCAGUCUGUGGGUUACUCUGGAACAUUCCGGAACUUUAGUCUUUGUGAGUGGUGCUGCGAUGGGUCUGGUUUCUUGCUUUUCUCUCCUGUUCGGCCCCUGAGAGCUUUUUCUCAUGUUUCUUUCCUUCUGAGGUACUUAAUUAGGUUACUUUUUCAAAUAUCUCGUCCUGCUUCUCUUUCCCUCCGUGACUCCUCUUACCCGAUCAACCUGUGUACGCGUUUCUCCCCAACGCUCAGCGUCCCCCUUCUGUUUUCUAUCCAUUAUUCUUCCUGAAUCGUCCUGAAUUCCUCCACUUGGUACUCCAUGUUGCAGCACCACAGUUACGAUUUGUGUAGGUGCAAACCACCAAUUGGCGCUAAAGCAGUGAGGAAACGUUUGAGGAGUAACAGGAUAUUUACACAGUUUCAAACUUCCUCCCCACAAAACAUCCAUUACAAAGGGCAAAAUAUUAAUUUUACCCUGUACAGUAACUGGAAGCCUGCUUCGUACACCAUCAAGCAAGUGCUCAAAGUCAGAAUCUCCAGGUCGUCCUCUCUUAGCUGUGAUGGAGUCACCAGGACCCUGUUCGCCACAGAGCAGGGCACAACCUGCGGCACUGUGGUGUUCCAACCCAGACCACAGGACUGAGGGAUCUGCGAAGGAAAGGAAAGAGCCGGGGGACCCCAUGACUCUCCAGCUGAGCCCAAGGGCUCACGAAGUUGGGGAGGCAGAGAUCAGAGUUCAGGGAGCUUGAGGCAAGUAGAAUUUGCAGGCACAUCCGUAGAGGGAGGGAAAGGGGGAGACAGAGAGAGACACAUCGCAAACACACGCAUGCACGCACGAGCGCGCACACACACACACACACACUGGCUCGCCGCGGCCUGUAGUGCACCUGGAAGUCUAUCACACUUGCUGAACUUUCCUCAGAUCCGUUCAUCUCUCCAGGUUCUAGGAUUUCUCCAGGGUUGAUUCUGCGGGUCCCCAUGUAGCGACCAGUUCCUGCGUUGGGAUGGUCACUCCGCCUCCCUCUGCAGGGGCAAGUGGACAUGGGGGCAGGACCUGUGGGUCCCGCUGACGGACGUUGUGGUCAGACGAGCGAGGCUGUAGGCUGCCGGCCACGAAGGAGAGAAGAGCAGUCAGUCAUAUGAAGUAUUCUGGACGUUCUGCAAAGAAGCCAGACACAAAAGGGCACAUCCCGUAUGAGUCAUCAAACAUGUCAAAUACCGUAUGAGAGGAUCGAGUGCCGUCUGAUUCCAUCCACAGGAGGUCCCUGGAGGAGUCAGAUUCAGAGAG